GCCAGCCCGCUCAGAAACUCAAGGAAUUGACGGGGCCCGCACAAGCGGAGGAGCAUGUGGUUUAAUUCGAUGAUACGCGAGGAACCUUACCUGGGCUCGAACGUAAGAUGACUGUAGGUGAAAGCUUACAUCUCUUCGGAGCAUUUUACGAGGUGCUGCAUGGUUGUCGUCAGCUCGUGCCGUGAGGUGUCGGGUUAAGUCCCAUAACGAGCGCAACCCCUACCUUUAGUUGCCAUCAGGUAAUGCUGGGGACUCUAAAGGAACUGCCUACGCAAGUAGUGAGGAAGGCGGGGAUGACGUCAAAUCAGCACGGCCCUUACGUCCAGGGCUACACACGUGCUACAAUGGCCGAUACAGAGGGCAGCUACCUGGUGACAGGAUGCAAAUCUCCAAAGUCGGUCUCAGUUCGGAUCGGAGUCUGCAACCCGACUCCGUGAAGUUGGAUUCGCUAGUAAUCGCGCAUCAGCCAUGGCGCGGUGAAUACGUUCCCGGGCCUU
rnacentral:rRNA from 1 species